rnacentral:tRNA from 1 species
AGGCGAGUGGCUCAAUUGGCAGAGCAUCGGUCUCCAAAACCGAGGGUUGCAGGUUCAAUUCCUGCCUCGCCUG